CUCGCUCCCUCUUGACAUAUCGGCUCCCUUAUUUGAAAACGUGUUGCUUCUUUACAAAAAAAAGUACCUCUUUCACAAAAAAAUUUUUGAAUUGUAGUAAAAACUAAACUUUUGGUGCAAAUUAUUUGGUCGGCAACACCGUUUCCACUUUGACGCUAUGCUUUGUUAUUAUUCGUUGAAAAUCUUUUAUCUGUUUGUAAACAUUCAAGUCGAUUAUGUCUUACAUAUGGUGAUAGUCGAUUAUUUGGAGUCGGCUUUCUGCUGCAGAAAACCACCGGUUUGUGAAUUUUCAUACAUGUUUUUAUAGCAGCGUUUUUGCAAAUAUAACAGAGACCACCUUACAUACAAUACAUAAACUACAGACUUCACAGACGGGCAAUUGCUGCGGAAGGUGUGUGUUAAAGAGCUAGGUGGCCCAACUAUUGUGGUUUUUAGAAACGAAAGCACGUAUGCGCGUAUUUCUACCAUUGUCUCAUGUGGUGCUACGGACAAUUUCAUAAGAGAAUUGGAGCGUGUUGUGUAUGAUGGUGCAAAUACCUGUUUAACAUGUGACGGUCAUUAUGUGCCUAGUACUGCUACCUCUGAAAUCAAUUUGACUUCCGAACUGGCUGUCCACGUCGAUACCUUACCCCAUCUAGAACAAUAUGCUGUACGUAGAUGUAUGCGCAACACCUACACGAGCAAGUCCUCGCGCUUUAAGUCUACAAUUACAGAUAAGUUGUAAUGAUAUAUUUGUGAGUUAUUUUUAAGUUUUUGGUUUACAGGUUUUUGAUUUCUGCCUGAACUAAGUGCAGCGUUCCAACACCUAUACGAGCAAGUGCACCCACAUUCCUCAUAUUUCCUCUCCGAUUCAUUACUGAGACACGUGGUAUUGAUAUACGUAAAUUUAUAAACCAUCACAAUUACUAAAAGUGGAUUAUAUUACCAAUAUCUAAAAUUUUUCGAUGUAUUAGUUUUAGUCUAUAUUAAUACAUUUUCCUAUUAAUAUUAGGGACGCAAAGUAUAUUAAGAAAUGAUCGACUGAACUUCUGCUUUCGCAAUGUCUUUACGGUAACAUACUACAUGUAUUGUAAUGCACGAAAUAAGAAAAAAAAUUAAACUUUCUGUUUCAUCUCAUUCCUGUCGAUUAAGUAUAUUUUGACCUUUGGUGUAUUAAAAGACUUGUACUAUUGUAGUAAAUUAAACACAUUAAAUUCCUUUAUUAUGACUAUUUUUUGUUCUCUUCCACAAAAUAUACUCAAA